AGGAAAUGCUAAUAAGGAUAAGGAUAAAGAUAAGGAAGAUAAAGAUAUGGGUAAAGAUAAAGAUUAAGAUAAAGAUAAAGAUAAAGAUAAGGAAGAUAAAGAUAAGAGGAUAAAGAUAAAGAUAAGGAUAAGGAAGAUAAUGAUAAAAAUAAAGAUAAAGAAGAUGAAGAUAAGGAAGAUAAAGAUAAGGAUAAAGAAGAUAAAGAUAAGGAAGAUAAAGAUAAG